rnacentral:rRNA from 1 species
UACGGAGGAUCCAAGCGUUAUCCGGAUUCAUUGGGUUUAAAGGGUGCGUAGGCGGAAUGAUAAGUCAGUGGUGAAAUCCUUCAGCUUAACUGGAGAACUGCCAUUGAUACUGUCAAUCUUGAGUACAUUUGAUGUGGGCGGAAUGUGUCAUGUAGCGGUGAAAUGCUUAGAUAUGACACAGAACACCGAUUGCGAAGGCAGCUCACAAAACUGUAACCUGACGCUGAGGCACGAAAAGCGUGGGUAUCAAACAGGG